rnacentral:rRNA from 1 species
UACGGAGGGUGCAAGCGUUGAUCGGAAUUACUGGGCGUAAAGCGCACGUAGGUGGUUUGUUAAGCUAGAUGUGAAAGCCCCGGGCUCAACCUGGGAAUUGCAUUUAGAACUGGCAAGCUAGAGUAGGGUAGAGGGGUGUGGAAUUCCAGGUGUAGCGGUGAAAUGCGUAGAUAUCUGGAGGAACACCGAUGGCGAAGGCAGAUCUCUGGGCCGUAACUGACGCUGAGGAGCGAAAGCAUGGGGAGCGAACAGG